rnacentral:rRNA from 1 species
UACCAGCACCCCGAGUGGUCGGGACGAUUAUUGGGCCUAAAGCAUCCGUAGCCGGCCUUACAAGUCCUCCGUUAAAUCCAGCUGCUUAACAGAUGGGCUGCGGAGGAUACUAUAAGACUAGGAGGCAGGAGAGGCAAGCGGUACUCAGUGGGUAGGGGUAAAAUCCGUUGAUCCAUUGAAGACCACCAGUGGCGAAGGCGGCUUGCCAGAAUGCGCUCGACGGUGAGGGAUGAAAGCUGGGGGAGCGAACAGG